UACGAAGGGGGCUAGCGUUGUUCGGAUUUACUGGGCGUAAAGAGCUCGUAGGCGGUCCGUCACGUCCGCUGUGAAAACCCAGGGCUCAACCCUGGGCUUGCAGUGGAUACGGGCAGACUAGAGGUAGGUAGGGGGAGAAUGGAAUUCCUGGUGUAGCGGUGAAAUGCGCAGAUAUCAGGAGGAACACCGGUGGCGAAGGCGGGUCUCUGGGCCGAUACUGACGCUGAGGAGCGAAAGCGUGGGGAGCGAACAGG
rnacentral:rRNA from 1 species